UGAAUACGAGACGCUAAGGCGUCGAAGUAGUGUAUGCCAUACUUCCAAGAAAAGCUUGCACUGUCAUAGAUAAAAAACGCCUGUACCAUAACCGACACAGGUGGGUAGGUAGAGUAUACUAAGGGGCGCGAGAUAACUCUCUCUAAGGAACUCGGCAAAAUAACUCCGUAACUUCGGGAGAAGGAGUGCCUUAUUCGUAAGGUUGCAAUAACAAGAUCCAAGCAACUGUUUAUCAAAAACACAGGUCUCCGCUAAGUCGUAAGACGAUGUAUGGGGGCUGACGCCUGCCCAGUGCCAGAAGGUUAAAGAAGUUGGUUAGCAAUUGCGAAGCUGAUAACUGAAGCCCUGGUGAACGGCGGCCGUAACCAUAACGGUCCUAAGGUAGCGAAAUUCCUUGUCGGGUAAGUUCCGACCCGCACGAAAGGCGUAAUGAUUUGGAUACUGUCUCGGAGAGGGGCUCGGUGAAAUAGACUUGUCUGUGAAGAUGCGGACUACCUGCACCAGGACAGAAAGACCCUAUGAAGCUUUACUGUAACUUGAAAUUGAAAUUGGACUUUAUUCGCACAGCAUAGGUGGGAGGCGUUGAUUAUAAUCUUGCGGGAUUAUUGGAGCCAUCAGUGAGAUACCACUCUUGUAAUGUUAGAUUUCUAACUUUGAAUCAUUAUCUGGUCAAAGAACAGUUUCAGGCGGGCAGUUUGACUGGGGCGGUCGCCUCCUAAACGGUAACGGAGGCGUACAAAGGUUUCCUCUGAACGGUUAGAGAUCGUAUCUAGAGUGUAAAGGCAUAAGGAAGCUUGACUGUGAGACCUACAAGUCGAGCAGGGACGAAAGUCGGUCUUAGUGAUCUGACGGUACUGAGUGGAAAGGCCGUCACUCAACGGAUAAAAGUUACUCUAAGGAUAACAGGCUGAUCUCCCCCAAGAGUUCACAUCGACGGGGAGGUUUGGCACCUCGAUGUCGGCUCAUCGCAUCCUGGGGCGGUAGUACGUCCCAAGGGUUGGGCUGUUCGCCCAUGAAAGCGGUACGCGAGCUGGGUUCAGAACGUCGUGAGACAGUUCGGUCCAUAUCCGGUGUAGGCGUUAGAAUAUUGAGAGGAGCCUUCUUUAGUACGAGAGGACCGAGAAGGACAUACCUCUGGUGUACCAGUUAUCGUGCCAACGGUAAACGCUGGGUAGCUAUGUAUGGAGUGGAUAACCGCUGAAAGCAUCUAAGUGGGAAGCCCACCUCAAGAUAAGUAUUCUCAC
rnacentral:rRNA from 1 species